rnacentral:rRNA from 1 species
UACGGGGGGGGGCAAGCGUUGUUCGGAAUUACUGGGCGUAAAGGGCUCGUAGGCGGCCAACUAAGUCCGACGUGAAAUCCCCAGGCUUAACCUGGGAACUGCGUCGGAUACUGGAUGGCUUGAAUCCGGGAGAGGGAUGCGGAAUUCCAGGUGUAGCGGUGAAAUGCGUAGAUAUCUGGAGGAACACCGGUGGCGAAGGCGGCAUCCUGGACCGGCAUUGACGCUGAGGAGCGAAAGCCAGGGGAGCAAACGGG